UACGGAGGGGGCUAGCGUUGUUCGGAAUUACUGGGCGUAAAGGGCGCGUAGGCGGUGCGAUCAGUCAGGCGUGAAGGGCCCGGGCUCAACCCGGGGACUGCGCUUGAUACUGUUGCGCUGUGAGUCCGGGAGAGGAUGGCGGAAUUCCCAGUGUAGAGGUGAAAUUCGUAGAUAUUCGGAGGAACACCAGUGGCGAAGGCGGCUCACUGGUCCAUUACUGACGCUGAGGUGCGAAAGCGUGGGGAGCAAACAGG
rnacentral:rRNA from 1 species